rnacentral:lncRNA from 1 species
UAUUGUUUUCAUUUUUGUGAAUAUGAUGUGUAUCUUGUCUCUUACAAUUGUGUUCUAAAUAGAGAGGAAAAGAAAAGAGACAAGAUGAAGAAAAAAAGAGAAAAAAAUGCAGAAAAAUGAGAAAAAAUUAAAAAAAAAAUUAUGAAUAAUUGUGAAUAAUGGAGUCAAGAAGAGGAUGGAACUAGAGGUUGUGGGUGUGUUUGAAUGUGUUUACACUUGUUCCCCAUUGCUCCUCUGUUCCUUAUGGUUUGUAGCUUCUUAUCCAGAUGUANN